rnacentral:rRNA from 1 species
GAUGAACGCUGGCGGCGUGCCUAAUACAUGCAAGUCGAGCGAACAGACGAGGAGCUUGCUCCUCUGACGUUAGCGGCGGACGGGUGAGUAACACGUGGAUAACCUACCUAUAAGACUGGGAUAACUUCGGGAAACCGGAGCUAAUACCGGAUAAUAUAUUGAACCGCAUGGUUCAAUAGUGAAAGACGGUUUUGCUGUCACUUAUAGAUGGAUCCGCGCCGCAUUAGCUAGUUGGGAAGGUAACGGCUUACCAAGGCGACGAUGCGUAGCCGACCUGAGAGGGUGGUAGGCCACACUGGAAGUGAGACACGGUCCAGGCGCCUACGGGAGGCAGCAGUAGGGAAUGUUACGCAAUGGGCGAGAGCCUGACGGAGCAACGCCGCGUGAGUGAUGAAGGUCUUCGGAUCGUAAAGCUCUGUUAUGAGGGAAGAACAAAUGUGGAAGUAACUAUGCACGGCUUGACGGUACCUAAUAAGAAAGCAACGGCUAACUACGUG